AUAGCAAUAAACCCUAAAUAUAUAAUAACUCUAGUAUUUUUUAUUUUUUAAUAAUUUUUUGUUAAGUGGCUGGUUCCAUUGGAUCGGAUUGGCCGAUUGGAUCCUAUUCCCGCUCCUAGGAUUGUUCGGUCCAAUCCCCAGUCCCAAAAAAGGGGAACCGGUCCUCCCGGUUUGGUUUGAUUCCAAGGAAUAGGGUACCGGAUCGAAAACCAAUCACUCAUUUGUUCUACGCUCUUUACUAGCACACAAAGACCUAUUUAUAUCGGCCACUUUCACCAAGAUGGUGCAUUCGAAAAUCUCUCUUCAUCAAAGAUCUUCUCUUAUUCUUUGGCUCUAGGCCACACAAUUCGCCAACCACGAGUAGACUAAAUUCUUAUAGAUGGCUAGAGGCUCCUACAUUUUUUUUUUUUUUUAUUUAGAAAAUUUGAUCAGAUUUUGACACUCCUUCUUGAUCAUAAAUAUAUGAGAUUUUAUUAAAAUAUAGGCAUCGAUUCGAUGGAUAAUUUUGUUUAGAUAUUUCGUGAUUUUCAUUAAGGUACCGGUUCAAAUCUUAAUCGUCACCGUCAAUUCACAAAUCUAUCAUAUUAAAAAAAAAUUAGUGUGGCUAACAUUAUUCCGAAAUAUAUAAGUAAAUGGAUGAAGUUUUGUCUGGAUGAUAAAAAUUAAGAACCUCGAUUUUGUUUUAGGUCAAUUCUAGCGAAAAACAUUUCGAUUUAGCGUCAAAACUUCCAAGUAUUCUAUUAUCUGAUUUCUUAACAAAUUCCCAAUAAAACUUGCAAAAAAUCCUUUCUUCACAAAAUGAAAAAUCUUAAAUCUAAAUCUUGAAAAAGAUAUAUUUCAAGAUAUACAAAGCAGACGCUGACAUUGGGCCAAAAAAGGCCUCCACGAUUUCUUCAUCUUCUUCUCCGAUCGGCCUACCAACAAAAGCAAAGGCCUCAUCCUCUGAAUUCUCCACAGAAGGGGAAAAGGCUACAGCGAGAUAGAGCGAGGGAGGAGAGGAAGGAGACCAACAAAUUCAGCAGAAAUCGAUAAAGAAGCAACCAGCGAAAGAGCAGGAGGAGGAGGAGAUGGAGAAGGGAAAACAAGAGCAACGGCACUGGCGGAAGACGAUGGGCCAUCGAUUCUCACCAACACUUCUACUUCUCAUGCCACUCGCACUGCUUGAACAUCCAGCUGCUGCGGAUGGACGACGUCGUCAUCGCGGUACGUGCUGGCGUCGUUCCGGGAGCUGCCAGAGUAUGUGAAGGACAACGAGCUCAUCCUUGGCCACCGUCCGUGCCAACUGGCCGCUCGCCGAGGCCGCUCGCAGCUUGUUCCGUUGGCACAACGAGAAGCUCAACGUCUGGUUAGUUGGCGGAUCUUCUCGACCUAUUCUCAAGGUACAAAUUCUUUGGUGAACUUGAAUCAGAUAAUGGAAGAAGAAAAUGAAGAUCGGUUCCCUCCAACCAGCCGCGACACGGUGGCCGUUCUUUGUUUUUUUUAGCUUGACACAGAUUUCUUCUGGAUAAAAGAUGUGAUUGGAUCGACUCUUGACAAAUAUUCUAUUUUGAAUGGGAAAAGAAACGCCGACAAAAUCAUUGAUCCUGA